CCAGUGUGGACGACCCCUGGGGUUCCCCGGGGCUCUGUCCGCGUGGCCCAGAGGAGCACAGCACGUGGGUGUGUGAUGUAGAAUCAAUCCCACGGCACUGGCGAUGAGCUUGUCCCCGGUCUUAGGAUUGGAGGGCACGUCCCGUAUGUUCUUGUCGUCUCAUUACCUGGUUGCUGAGGAGAAAACCAUACAGGGCAGGCAC
ensembl:snoRNA SNORA73 Small nucleolar RNA SNORA73 family